rnacentral:sRNA from 1 species
AAAUAAACCUGAUAGAACGGAAAUACUUUUUGUUGCAGGGUCUUCGACUCCGCUCAGACUGACAAUCGCAAAAAGAUUGUAGUGAUAGCGGGACUAUCG